UUGACCUCAAAUCAGGUAGGAUUACCCGCUGAACUUAAC
rnacentral:rRNA from 1 species